rnacentral:tRNA from 1 species
GGGCCCGUAGUCGAGCCAGGACCAAGACGUGGGCCUUCGGAGCCCAAAAUCGUGGGUUCAAAUCCCACCGGGCCCGCCA